CCGUGGGUGAGGGUGUGCGGCUCCGGGAGAGCAUCGUCCUCCAUGGAGCCACUUUGCAGGGCAGGAGCACACGUGUGUUCUGCAUAGCAUCGUGGGCUGGGGGAGCACCGUGGGACGCUGGGCCCGCGUGGAGGGUACCCCCAGUGACCCUAACCCCAACGAUCCCCGAGCCCGCAUGGACAGUGAGAGCCUCUUCAAGGACGGGAAGCUGCUGCCUGCUAUCACCAUCCUGGGCUGCCGAGUCCGGAUCCCUGCCGAGGUGCUCAUCCUGAACUCGAUUGUUCUGCCACACAAGGAGCUGAGCCGAAGCUUCACCAACCAGAUCAUCCUCUGAGUAGGGCUGCCAGAAGGCCCCCAGCUCCUACCCACUCCCCUUGAGGCUGCUGCCUGCUUGGCCAGCCUCUGUCCAGAAAGGACCAGAGAAAGCCAGGCAGGAUCGUCACAUGCCGGGGAGCAGUGUGGGUGGCCUGGGGACUCCUGGGUUUUCUCCCUCCCGACUCCCUAAUAAACCCCGUGAACCUUGG
rnacentral:lncRNA from 1 species